rnacentral:lncRNA from 1 species
UAUGUGAGAGUGGGUCUUCCCGUACAGGAAGUAGAAGAUCUUUUGUUUGGGGGCCUCGUCGUCCUCCUCCAUGUCAUUGGCCAGAUAGCUGAGGACAGAAAUCAGGUUGCUGCUCAGGGGCACCACCAGGAGAGACCUCCGGCUGAGGUCAGCUUCCCAGAGAGGAAGGAUGGAGACAAAAACCCAACUGGUGACCAAGAGUGGUGGCUUAGGCCUGGAAUCCCAGCACACUGGGAGGCCGAAGCAGGAGGAUCACUUGAGGCCAGGAGUUUGAGACAGGCCUGGGCAACAUAGCAAGACCCUUGUCUCUAUUAAAAAUAUAAAAAAUACGCCAGACGUGGUGGCUCAUGCCUGUAAUCCCAGCACUUUGGAAGGCUGAAGCAGGUGGAUUGCUUGAGACCAGGAGUUUGAGACCAGCCUGGCCAACACAGAGAAACCCCAUUUAUGCUAAAAAUACAAAAAUCAGCCUGGUGCGGUGGCACACCCAUUAGUCCUAGCUACUCAAGAGGCUGAAGCAUAAGAAUUGUGUGAACCCAGGAGGCGGAGGUUGCAGUGAGCCAAGAUUGGGCCCCUCCAUUCCAGCCUGAGAGACACAGCAACACUCUUG